rnacentral:rRNA from 1 species
GCCCUUAGAGUUUGAUCCUGGCUCAGAACGAACGCUGGCGGCACGCCUAACACAUGCAAGUCGAGCGCACCUUCGAGUGAGCGGCGGACGGGUUAGUAACGCGUGGGAACAUACCCUUCUCUAAGGAAUAGCCACUGGAAACGGUGAGUAAUACCUUAUACGCCCUUCGGGGGAAAGNUUUAUCGGNGNUGGAUUGGCCCGCGUUAGAUUAGAUAGUUGGUGGGGUAAUGGCCUACCAAGUCUACGAUCUAUAGCUGGUUUUAGAGGAUGAUCAGCAACACUGGGACUGAGACACGGCCCAGACUCCUACGGGAGGCAGCAGUGGGGAAUCUUAGACAAUGGGCGCAAGCCUGAUCUAGCGAUGCCGCGUGUGUGAUGAAGGUCUUAGGAUCGUAAAGCACUUUCACCAGGGAUGAUAAUGACAGUACCUGGAAAAGAAACCCCGGCUAACUCCGUGCCAGCAGCCGCGGUAAUAAGGGCG